CACCCGGUAUUAUAGUAGGUUUGUUCUAGCAUCAGUUUCAAACGGUUUGAAACCAUCAGCGAAUAGGCCGUUUCAACAUGCUGUCAAAAUUAAACCAAUAUGGCUACCGGGAGUCAAACAUAAAUGUUAUUCUCUCAGGUUCUUAAUGUGUUUUAGAUAAUUUUAGUUGUGUUUCUUUGUAAUUUUGUGUUGUACAAAGAUUAAUUUAACAUUUUCUCUGGAAGUAUUAAAUUAGAAAGAUAAUAUGCCUACUUAUAUAUACCUUAUCUAUGAUAAUAUGCCUCAUUGGUGUUGUGUUUUGAAGUGUUAAAUGCAAAGUAAUCGUGAUCAGUAAUGCAAAGUAAUCCUGAAAAAGAUAACUUUUACCACUUACCAUCAGUGCUACAUUCUAAGCACAAAACUGAACUAAAUAAGUUAUCAUCUGAGAAACAAUGGUUAAAUGCAAUAAAAUGUAAAGGUUUUAUUAGCGAAAUGAAAAUUCUCCUGUCUCAUGUAAUCAUUUUAUAUCUGGUAAGUUACAACAUUUGAACAUUAACGAUUUUUGAAGAUGUUAACACUCUAAUCUUGUAGGAAAACCAGCCGACUUAGCUGAUAAUAACAAUCCAGAUUGGGGUCCUUCAAUAAAUAUGGGGUAUAUAAACACAAUGAAAUGAGUUCCCCAAAAUCUAAAAUGGAGCAGUAUCAAAGGAGAAUUAAAAGAAAAGGGUACCUACAAGAAAAAAUUGCUUUUUUAUUCCUCUUGAAAUGAUUUAUAAGACACUGGACUGUCUUAUAUUCUACAAAUACUAGAAUCAGCUGAGAGAAGUGGUCUACAAAAAACCAGGAAGGAAACGGAAUAUGUGGCUACGAAAGGCAAAAGAAAGGUUUACAAAGCCAAUGUGACACAUUUUUUUAAAUAUUUAGGAGUAUCAGUAAAUUACAUUAAAAAAAUGUAUGAAAAGAUUUUGUUCAAUAAAAAUGUUUAUAUUUA